CUUCUGCUCGCAGGGUUGUGAGUGUAUCUACUUUCCGUGCACAGUAUGAGCACGUGUAAAAUUAAUCCUCGCAUAAUCGCGGGUGUAUUUUCCUCCCGUGCUUCCACAUAAGCACGUGUAACUUUCCGUGCACAUUUGCACGCGUACUUUCCGUGCUUAAUACAAGCACGUGUAAAAUUAACCCUGCAGGAUUGCGAGUGUAUCUACUUUCCGUGCACGUUUGCACGCGUACUUUGCGUGCUCAAUACGAGCACGUGUAUAAAUUAACCGUGGCAGAAUCGCGGAGUGUAUUUUCCUCCCGUGCUUCCACAUAAGCAUGUGUAAUAUUCUGUGCACAUUGACACGUGUAUUAACCCUCGGAGAAUCGCGAGUGUACACUUUUCCGUACUCAAUACGAGUACGUGUAUCCCUUUAAAAUAAUCCCACACUGUGCUCAGGCAAGUCUGUACUCUUCCCGGACUUAGGGGCGGCUCAGGCAUUGUUUAGGGUGAAGCCAGGUGCAUGCACUCUGUGGGCCUCCUGUUGUGGUGUUGCUGCCUCUUAAUAAUUUUCCUCAACUGAUAUCCGAACCUGUAUUCAAGUCACUUUUGGAGUGCUAAACCCCUGUUUCUCACCUGUUUAAUAAAAGUUGUUUUGGACUCUGUUGUCCCUUAGACUAACCUCGGGGUGCCUCCGUGACAAAAAGAGAAGCAAAAGUCACCCGAAAGAACUGGCUGAAACCGAUCCAGCUUUCAUCUGCGUGCAGGGCUGUGCUGUGCAGAGUGGAGAGCUGACAUGUGGUUAAAGAGUAGCUCGAUCUGAACAGGGAGUGAAUGAAAGACAACUAAGUAGUUAGCUGAGGAAGCAGCCACUUAAACUGUCCGUGCCUCAAAGGACACGACCUUUCCUGUUUUUUUUGGGGGGGAGUGGGUUUACUUUUUGUUUGUUUUCUUUUUUACAUUCUAUUGACUGUUUCUUCUUGAGAGAGCAGGACAAUACAAGGCACAGAAGUAGCACCGAGGUGUUUUACAUUCAUAGAGGAUUUUGACAUGGCAGAGGUUUCUGUGAUAACUUUGCAAGGCAGAUAUGUCACUUUGGCAGCUUCCAAUGACAACAGUUUUCACUAUGCAGUUGGACCUUGCCCCCAUCUCACAGCAAGAGCAUAAGCAGGGGCUUCUGCAGUAUUGUCAUCCACUCAACGGACAUGAUUGUCCUGCUCUGCUCUGUACGGGUACGGCCUCACCUGGAGCACUGUGUGCAGUUCUGGGCGCCACAGGAUAAAAAACGAUAUUAAGCUACUGGAGAGUGUCCAGAAGAGGACUAUGAAGUUGAUUAAGGGUUUGGAGGGGAAGCUGUAUGAGGAGCAGGUAAAGACACUUCGUUUGUUUGGCCUGGAGAAGAGGAGACUAAGAGGAGACCUCAUCAUGGUCUACAGCUUCCUCACAAGUGGAAGAGGAAGGGCAGGCACUGAACUCUUCUCUUUAGUGAACAAUGACAGAACCCGAAGGAAUGGCAGGAAGAUGUGCCAGGGAAGGUUUAGGUUGGACAUUAGGAAAAGGUUAUUCCCCCAGAAGGUGGUGGAGCACUGGAACAGGCUCCCCAGGGAGGUGUCACGGCCCCAAGACUGACAGUGUUCAAGAAGAGACUGGACAACAUUCUCAGACACAUGGUGUGAACUGUGGCCUUGUCAUAUGCAGGGACAAGAGUUGGACUCGAUGAUCCUUGUGGGUCCCUUCCAACUCAGUACAUUCUAUGAUUCUGCCUUUGAAUACCUGUCACAGACAGAAUUGAGAACACAUGGCAUCCGCUCUGCCAGCCAAAGAGUAGCAGUGCCCUGAUGAUAGUGCUCCUCUUAGGGCUGGUGCUUUCCCCUUGCCUCUGCCAGUCAGGCCACAGAAGGUGCUACCAAAUGCAGGGUACUUGCCCCAGAGAAUGGAAACCCCAUCUUCAGUCCUCAUUAACUCGGGGAUCAGAAGUCUCUUAGCAUGGGAUUUGUAUCUAUAUCUUAAAAAGGAAAGCAUACUGAGAAUUUGGAGGUGAUGCUUGCAUCAGUGCUUUUUUCGUCUUCAGAAACUGUAAGAGAUGGAUCUUCUUGCUCCUAAAGGAUUUGCUUUCUGCUCCAAAAAGAAGUUGUCCCACAGAAAUUAGUUCUCAAGACCUGUAUUUGUGUAUCAGCACAAGUCCUUGGUAGACCCAUGAGAAAGUCACCUAGUGUUGCAGUGUCAGGUAAAAAAUUCUCCUUCUGCAAAAGAGGGUGAUGUCUGCCUCUGGCCACACACUGCUGAUGAUCUCCCAACUGCUUACAGGAGCUGAGGUUUUGCAUGAUGAGAGGAAAAAAGUGCAGCUGCUGCUGCCAAGAGGAUUUAUUUGCUCUGGCAUGGAGCUGUUGGUAGCAGUACUCAUGUGCAGUGCCACACCUCAGUGGUGACUCUUACUUAGAGAAAUGAGCACAUUUAUUUCCUGUUGCUGUCCAGGAACAUUAUUAAACAUGGCUCUGAGCACCAAGAAAUAGGGGUACAACACACUGGCACUUAGCACUGUUGUCUCUGCCAUUGAGCAUGAGGCAGAGAGGUCAUUUGCAAAAGAGUAACACUCCAGGCUUUAAGGUAUCUCCUGGAUAGCAUGGAAUUGCUCUGACUGAAGCAGGAAGUUUUGCAGAAGUGCCAGUUUGCAAGGACUGUAGAAGAGAGCAGUUCCUCAGUUUGUCUCUAAAACCUACCGGGUGAGUGGCAAAAUCCUCCUUUAAUGUCUGAUAGGACCAAGAGGGUGCAUUUCUUGGUAUCAUCCUGCAGUCAGAAACCUAUUAAGAUUACACAGGCGAGUUGCUCCAGCUACUCGGAAACCCAGGAGAGGCUCUGGCGAAUAACUUCAGCAAGUCAAAGCCCUGCUGAAGAGACAGUUAGGUCCAGGAAGGACACUUCUUCCCCAGCUGACAGGAGUGUUUGUGGCAAAGGCUUACACUGUAGCCAACCCCCCUGGACCUGUUAAGAAGGCCAGAUUGCCAAGUGCUCUCUUAGACUGCAGUUUUUAUACAGAAAAAUCAGAACCCAGACCAUGUCAUCUAAAUGUGACUGAGGGCCCACAGUAUGCCCUUCCAAAGAGUUUUUCACCUUGUGCCAGGACUGGGGGUUUUGGACAAGGCUCGACAUGCAGCCAGGGUGUAGGUUUAGGAUUAGGGUUAGGACUGAGAGAGAAACAGAGUGGCAAUCUCUCUAGAGUGGGUAUACUGAAGAGCUGCUGAAGGAAGGGGGAGGCUGCAAAAAGUCUAUGAAACAUCUGGCAGAAGAUGCUGCCUGUUCUGAUAGAAUGACACCAAACGAGUAGUUUAAGCAUUGCAGCACUAAACAGAAUGUGUUUUUCUCCCCUUCUUUCUCUCUCUUCCCUGAUUUCAGCUUCAGUUUUCCAUUUCACCUGAGAGCAUGUGAAGGAGACGCCCCUGUUUCCUCAUAGGAAAGGGGAGAAGAAAGGGGAAUCCUUCCUGCCCCCCACUGAGUCAAACCAGCACACCUGCAGUAUGAGCCCCCUGAUGCAAUACAGAAGCAAGAGGAGGGACAGGCAUCCCGCAGCAUUUUGACAUCUCUCUGUUUGCUGUGACCAGUGCAGUUAAGUAUUUGCAGGUACUGGAUUUAGAUAGGAAGGUAAAUGUGUAGCUUUACAAAAUGAGUUUAGGUGUGAAAUCCAUGCAAGUAUUGAGAUACAAAUGCUGCUGAACAUCUUUAGCCAUGUAACAUAGAUGGCUGGAGAAGCUUCAUGUCUUAAAUCCAAGGUCUGUGAAUGUAAAUCACAAGGACCUCUGAAUAUUUGGUGUCAUGGGGAGUAUAGUCCAGCUAAGCAGAAGUGUAGGAACCUAGAAGAUAAUCCAUUAUGGGCCUAAGGACCUUAAUCUACUACUCUAUGCCAUAUUUUUUUUGGUAGACACUCAUAUUGUUGUUUUGUUGGGUUUUUUUUAAUACUUCAUUUAUACCAGCAAAUUAUUUACUAAUUUUUCAUUGUGGCUCACUGAAUACUGUUACCCAUAUUGAGGCUUUUUUCUUCACGGUCUUCUACAGUACCUUUUUCUUAUUACUACUUCUUAAGUAUGCUUAUUUCAAAGAACCUUACAACCAAAUCACAGUUUAAUUCUGUAAUUAGCUCCUUCAAUUCACAUCAAAGACUGAAUGUCAGUCAACAACAAAUGAACUGUCAGCAGCAAAUCUAACUCUGAAGAUGAAGCAGCUAUCAGAAAAUAAUUUACACUAAGCAAGCUGAAAAAAACCCACAUACACACUUUAGAACAAAUGUGUAGCUUUAUUUUAUUUAAUCAAUUAAAAUCUACCUUAAAAACACAAAUUUAGUAACCCAGUACAUUGGAUUAGAGAAAGCUUCAAGCUUUUAAGCACAAGCCAGAAGUCACAGUCUCAAAUGAGAGUUUCAGAGGCCAAAGCAAUACGCUGGAACAAAGUAGUAUCUUUCUGUGGAGGCAUGCCCCUUGCACCAUUAGCGUGGGUUUGGGUGCAGAAUUUCUUUAGCUGGCAGCUACAAGAAGCAGCUUUUGUAUUUGUUUUAUAGUUAAAUUUGUUGCAUUGCUUACCUAGGCCCUGGAUUAACGGAGAAAACAGGCAAGUUUAAGCACUCGCCUGUCCAAUUACUACCAACAGACAAUUUACACUGUGGUAAAGCUAGCUUUAUUUAAAUGAGGUUCAGACAAGAAUUAACUUUACAUAUUAUUAACAGCUUUGGAGCUACAAACAUAAGAAUCAGGAUUACACAGGUCAUGCUAUUGUUAUUUCAUUUUACCUGCUGCAGUUAUUGCAAUAUGGCUUAAUGUACAUAGGUAUACAAUUUGUACAAAUUCAGCCAAGUUUGCACUUAUGAGGUGUUAUUAAGAGCACUAUUAACUUGCAAGCCAACUUAAACCUGUGGAAACCAACCGAGGUUGUUGGAAUUGCCCAAAGCUAAGGGGGGAAGCUGCUGCUAACAAUGGACAGACAUAGACUGGAUUGUUUGAAACCACAUUGUUGGGCUUUAAAUAUUUAUAUAAUUUGCUCUGAGGUAAGGAAAAAUCUUUUGAUGCUUCCACGCAGGGCAGCACCAGAUGGUGCAG